CAAGUGACCCCGGUCUAACCACCGGGAUGUUCAUAACCCUUUGUUGUCCGACUCUGUUGCCUCCGGGGCGACCCUGCCUUCGGGCGGGGCUCCGGGUGGACACUUCAAACUCUUGCGUAACUUUGCAGUCUGAGUAAACUUAAUUAAUAAAUUA
rnacentral:misc_RNA from 1 species